AGUCGCUUUUAAUCAAAACCGUCUCCUAUUGGCCCAUGCAUAUCUAUCAGAAUUAAAUAGGUGGUCAAAAACUCUCGACAAACUAAUGUAUGGGUCUGGUCGUAAAGUGCAGUCUAAAUUUCCAUUGUAGGGACCGUACAUCUCUCGUCCUUGCCAGUGCGUGUGCGUGAUCCAGGCAAUGUCACAUACGCCCACCGCUUACUAUUGCUAAUAUUCACCCUUAACAUCCGCCCGCUCAGUCGGUAACAAUGCAUGAUAACUGCCAGCAGUAACAAUCUAGUAAGUAGGUCAUCAGGUGACGCGCCGCCCUUUUGGCCAGUUUGAAAAAUCAGCAUAAAAAUGCGACACUUUCGCAAAGCGAUUUCAGUCUGUAAGCAGAAUUAAAUUGAGUGCAUUCAACAACAACACAACAGAAAACGAAACGAAACCAAAAGUAAACGCGAAAUACUACAAAAAUCUGUUACAAGUUCGAAUAAACCCGCAGCAAAGAUACUACGAAAAUGAGGCGCGUAUUCUUUACUCUUUGGCACAUGCUCACGGCCCAGCGCCUGCUCCUGGUACUCUGUUCGUUGCUCUCUCUUUGCUCCGGCGGCAAUAUGCAUCCUUUGAAAGUGGGCAAAAACUAUGUGUCGCUGCACAACCAGCCCAAGGACUUUCGCUCUUUAGUGAUGGAUAUUACCAAGUUUAUUCUCACUAUUGUGGGCAGAACACGUUGAGUCCAGCAGAUGCUGGAAGUUUUUUUGUUAUUUUUUUUGAGCACGUAUUCCUUAUUUAUAGAAAGCAAAAGCUUUUGCCUCCAUCUAAUCUGUCCAAAGAUCGGACUACCAUAUCUAUUACUAAGCUGGUAGGUCGCGCAUGAUCCAAACAUAUAUCAGUUCUUUAUCUCUAUUCAAAGGCGUCCAGAUUUGCAAAGUUCCAGAGUUCCAAAAAUCUCCAUUAGAGACCGACAGAAAGGCCAGCGACCAGCGACCAGCAGAUCAGUGCAGAGACCGACAACCAUUGCCAAAGCAACGCAAAGCCUGGCCUCGAACUGAAUUUACAAUAAAAAUUCUUAAUUCUUGGUACAAAAAUUACUGUAUUUAGCUGAUGAAAAUAAUUUGAAUAUAUGUAUUUUUCGAGCAGGUUAACUUUUUGUAGAGUAAAUGUUGGUUAAAUAUGGUCUUUUAAUUUGUUCUUUUGUGGCAAACGUUCUUGUUCUGUUGUUCUGUUUAGAGCUAAUAAAAUCGCAUACAAGUGAAUUUGA